UGGGGAAUAUUGCACAAUGGGCGCAAGCCUGAUGCAGCCAUGCCGCGUGUGUGAAGAAUGCCUUCGGGUUGUAAAGCACUUUCAGCGGGGAGGAAGGCGAUAAGGUUAAUAACCUUGUCGAUUGACGUUACCCGCAGAAGAAGCACCGGCUAACUCCGUGCCAGCAGCCGCGGUAAUACGGAGGGUGCAAGCGUUAAUCGGAAUUACUGGACGUAAAGCGCACGCAGGCGGUUGAUUGAGUCAGAUGUGAAAUCCCCGGGCUUAACCCGGGAAGUGCAUCUGAUAAUGGUCAGCUAGAGUCUUGUAGAGGGGGGUAGAAUGCCAUGUGUAGCGGUGAAAUGCGUAGAGAUGUGGAGGAAUACCGGUGGCGAAGGCGGCCCCCUGGACAAAGACUGACGCUCAGGUGCGAAAGAGUGGGGAGCAAACAGG
rnacentral:rRNA from 1 species